AGUGCGGCGCUUUUAAGUAACAAUAUGAAAUAUUCUUCUCCGAUAGAGGAAGACCAACUACCUUGCAAUUGAAGGGGACACUGAGUCGAACGAAAACAACCAGCUUUUUAGUUUGGGUCUAUAAAAAUAAUGAUGACAUAGGUAGGAUACAAAGAUGACCAAUUGCGAACAGUUUUGCUCCCAGACAACCCAGAGGAACACAUUCAGGUGCCACGUAGCGCAAGAGCGCGCGUCUUGUCCGUAUUCUUUGUUAUCCAGGAUCAUAUUCAGUUGAAUAAAAGUUGUUGUUGUUGUGACAAGUCUAGAAAUAUUCCUCUGCUGCACGAGUAUUUUUGCCAACUUUUUGAAGCAAUUAUUUUCUCACCAUCAUCUACGCAUCUACGGUGCACCUUCGCACAAGCCGGACUCUCCAUAAAUAGGUGAAGAUCGAAGAUGCGGCGGCAAUGGAGAGCUGUUAUUAUUUGAUGCUUCCGACAGGCAUUAUUGGAAAGAUGACCAUUUUCAACGCUGACUUCCUCCAAGAAUCACCGUGCGGUCAUGUGUUUUCGGUGCGGAGAGACUUCUAAAGCAGUAUCUCAAAUGCAUGAUCUGACCAUCCAUGUCUGGGGUGUGCUGUUCAUGGUAAAGCUGUAGCAUGAUGAGUAGUGAUUUGGAGCGCGUUUCACUCAAUUCAACGACGGCUAACUCGGGAAUUGGGUCGGGUGGCCGCGCGCUGUCAGCAAACGUUCGGAAGCUGCACAACGCGCUCAACCUGCUGCUCACAGACUUCGAGAGAGAACAGUUCAUACACUGUCUAAAUGUUUACCAUGCAAAGCGCAACGUCUUCGAUUUAGUUCAAACUCUCAAAAUAAUCCUCAACACGCCAAACAAACGACAACUCCUCCCCAUGUUGCGGUUGGUCAUUCCGCGCUCAGACCAGCUGUUGUUUGACCAGUAUACUUCCGAGGGCCUGUACCUUAAAACGGACCAUCUACCGCAAAACAGUGGUAACAACCCCGAAAGCUCUGGAGGAGAAGUAGGCAAUGCUGCAAACCACCAUGUCCAAAUUCCCACUGCUCACUGUAUGAACCCUCAUGAUCUCUCUUGUUCUGCAUCACCAGGAGCGUGUCCCGGCAAGGAUGGUUUCAGCACCACUGCUGAUGGCACGGCUGCCCAGGCUUUCAUCCAGGGGGAGCCUUUUGGAGAGAUCCGCCAAGUGACACUGAGACGCAGAAAGAGCAAUGAGGGUUUAGGGUUCAGCAUCCGGGGAGGCUCCGAGCACGAUGUGGGAAUAUAUGUGUCGCUCGUAGAACCCGGAUCUUUUGCUGAGAAUGAGGGAUUGAGGGUCGGUGAUCAAAUAGUGACUGUUAACGACAUGCUGUUUGACAGACUCUCACACAUGGAGGCAGUCAAGGUCCUGAAGGGCUGUAAGAAGCUAGCCAUGUCAGUGUGUUCUGUGGGCCGUAUCCCUGGCGGUUAUAUCACCAACCACAUCUACACCUGGGUGGACCCUCAGGGCCGCAGUGUCUCCCCUCCCUCCGACCUGGAGAAGCAGGAGCAGCACAGCACCCUGGGACGGCAGGACAGCCAGAGACGUGGACACACACAGGAGAGGGCUGAGAAGACGAUCACCCUAAACUUGAACAAUGGUCUCUCUCUGGGCCUGAUGAUCAGAGGAGGGGCAGAGUACGGCCUGGGCAUAUACAUUACUGGAGUGGACCCAGGCUCAGCCGCAGACCACGGUGGACUCAAGGUGGGCGAUCAGCUGCUGGAGGUGAAUGGGCGGAGCUUCGUGGCCAUCCCCCAUGAUGAGGCGGUGAGGAUCCUGAAGACGUGUCGCCACCUGCUGGUUAGGGUGAGAGACGUUGGCCGCCUGCCCCAUGCCCGCACCGUGGUGGACCAGACCAAAUGGAUCAGCAGCCCUAGCCCCCCCAGCCCACCGCCCAUAGCAGAGAGCACCGCCAGCCCAGCUACUACACGGCCAUCUUCAGCGCGGGCUACACCUGUAUUAGGAAAGUCAGUGUGUCGAGGUGUGUGGCCCCCAGGUUCCCAGGUGUCUCUGGAGGAGCAGGCCUUUAUGGUGCUGACCGACCCAGAGAGGCAGACCAUGGUUUACUACCUGCAGGAGUACCAGGAGGGACACAUCGGUCUGGAACCCCUGGCUAUGGCCCUGUUUGAACUCUUCAACACCCACGCCAAGUUAUCCUUGCUGUCUGAGGUGCGUAGCCUGGUGGCUCCCCAGGACCUGGAGCUGUAUGAUGGUCUGGUGCUGCACCGUGAGAGGGAGGCUCUGAAGGCCUGGCAUGGGGAAACAGGAACGUUGCAUCCACACAGCCACUGUGUACACACAGAGCCCUCAGCCAGCCACAGCCACUCCAACCCCACCACUCUCUGCUCUGCCAUGCAUGAGUGCUCACAUGGUGACAGUGUAGAGCAAGAUCCAGGGGUACACACUAAUGCCCUACCUGACAUUACAUUGAAAGAAGUGCGGUCUACAGCUGAAUCUCCUCCGUCCUUCAAGCCAUCACUUCCCUCCGGCCAUACCCAGACGAGAAACCCCAAGGAGAGGGACCCUUCCAAGCGUCCCUCAUCCAGUCACUCCCAGUCUGGCCUGAUCUUUACUGCCCCCACCAGGCUACAUCAGGAAUGUCACCACAAAUCCCUCAAAGCCUUCAGCUCCUCCAACCACCAAACCUCCACCUCCCCUAGUUCUGGCCUCCAUCACACCUGUCCCAACCCUGGCCACCAAAACAGCCGCAACCCUGGCACCAACCACAGUGCCAAUCUAAGCUCUGCUCAUCAGACAUCCAUAAACUCUCUUCACCACACCUGCCAAAACUCCCUCCACAUCUCCACCCCCACCUCUGACCACCACCCCCACCAAGGCUGCCCUAGCUCUGGCCACCAUACCUGCCCAGGCUCCCUUGAUCACAACUCCUUGUCGUUCCCCUCUGCUCUUCCAACCCAGGAGACGACCAUCAAGCACCCCAUCUUCAGAUCCUCUUCCCAUGAGAAGCCUGCUACCUCCCAUAAGACUGCCUCCCCUUGUCUCUCACCGUGUCCCUCCCCCGGUCUCUCCCCAUGUCUGUCCCCCUGUCCCUCGCCCUGUCCCUCUCUCGCUGUCCUGAAGCCGCCCCCAUGUAGCCCAGACAGACCCUGCUCUCCCUGUUCUCCCUCCCUCAGCCAGGGAGGUCAGUGUGUCAUGGCAGGCGUACACAGACUGACUGCUGAGGUCAGGCCCCAGCCCCAGCAGAGAGGCGCCACAUUGUCCCAACUGUCAGACAGUGGUCAGACUCUGAGUGAGGACAGUGGGGUGGACAUUGCUGAGACAGGAGGGCUGAGUAAAGACAGCAGUCCUCGGCCCAGUAAGAACCAGGCCACACAGCAGUCCCAAGUGGCCCAGGGACCUGCAGCGCUGGCAUCCAAACAGCAGCCAGGCUCUCCAGUGCCCACCCCUACCCUGGUACAUGUGGUAAAGAAUGCCAAUACUCUGGGUAUCGCUAUAGAGGGAGGGGCAAACACACGCCAGCCGCUGCCACGCAUCGUCACCAUACAGGUGAGAAAGAGAGACCACUGCGUCCCAAAUGGCUCUCUAUUCCCAAAAUAGUGCACUACUUUUGACCAGGGCUUAUGGGGCUCCGGGGGAAAGUAGAUGAUUCUGCAUCACCUUAUCAGACUCCAACAUUUAAGGGUAACUCUGAACAUGAAUGUAGCAUGAUGAGGACUACACAGGGCUUUUGUACUGUGAUGUCUGCACAUAGUAAGAACUACUUCGUCCUAUGUGAAUGUAGACCCCCGAUGUUGCGCCUGAAGGUGUGCCAUACUUAUAUAUAUAUUUUAUUGCAUAGCAGCAAGCAUAAAAAACGACGGAAUUACCAUUUUCACUUUCAUCCUAAAUGUGACUUUCCCCCGAGCAUCUGUUUAUGUGUGUAAUAGCUGCCUAUAUUUGCAUUGAUAAGAAUCUCAAAUCAGGUAAAGGAUGCUCUCCUGGGGAUUUGUAACUUUGUUGAAGAAAGUUUUCUACCACCUGUUUAGUCUCAGAAAUCUUGGAUUGGAUGAUCAAUUCAGGUCACCAGGGCCCAUAUUCAUUAGGAACUAAAUGGAAGCAAACCCAAACGUGGAGGGUCUACCUGAACUUGUCCAAUAAGGAACACGUGUUUUCAUUUUUAGUUUUCGGGUGUGAGUAGACCGACAUAGUCAUUGUGAGUGGGCCUACAUGUGUAUGCAAAUAUUAUUGUCAAGAACAGCCUUGAUGUAAGGAUCGACGCUGGAGACGAGAAGCAGGUACAGGGAGUGAACAUUUAAUAACUACGGACAGGAACAGAAUACGGACAGCAUCUGGACAGGGGAAACGGAAACAACAAUAAUGCUGGCACAGGGAUGAAACCGAGGAAACAGACAGAUAUAGGGAAGGCAAUCAAAACGUGAAGGAGUCCAGGUGAGUCCAAUGAGCACUGAUGCGCGUAAUGAUGGUGACAGGUGUGCAUAAUGAAAGGCAGCCUGGCGCCCCCGAGUGCCAAAGAGGGAGAGCGGGAGCAGGAGUGACAGAAACAGGUGUAUGUAUGACGGUGCAUAGAUUUCCAUAUCAAUGACUUCUCAAGAACUGCCCCCAUAAAUAUCAGUAGUCCAAUAGAGUCCUAUUGGACAGACUACCACUCAUUUAUAGGUUAAUCUAACACAAUACUCACUGCCCCCCCCCAAUUAUCAACAUAGCAGGGAUAUCACACCGCCUCAUUAUUCCAACUAUUUCCCCCCAUCAUUUAAUGGUACUGUCUGUGAUUCAGUAACAGUCCAUAGUUGUUUUCCAAAUGGCAACCUAUUCCCUAAAAUAGUGCUUAUAGUUCCUACACUUUUAGAAAAAAAAAUUGCUAUCUAGAGCCUUAAACGAUUCUUUGGCUGUCCCCAGAGGAGAACCCUUUGAAGAACCCAUUUUGGUCCCUUUCCACAGAGGGUUCUACGUGGAACCCAAAAUUCUUCCACAUGGAAUCAAAAAGGGAUCUACUUGGAACGAAAGCGGGUUCUCCUAUGGGGACAGCCACAGAACCCUUUUGGAACCUUUUUUUUCUAAGAGUGUAUGGGCCUUAGUCAAAAGUAGUGCUCUACAUAGGGAAUAGGGUUCUAUUUGACACGCAGCCAUUAGGUUGGCUCGGAAUGGUCACACAGAGAAUUAAAAGUGACAUGGUUGAAGAGGUUACUUCAGGAUAUGACAGUCAACAAUAAUGGGAUUUUAUUGUUUUACUGACUUAAUGAUAUGGAGCCUUGCCACCUCUGGGGAUAUGGUGCGAUAAGAAGAUUAUGAACAAUAGGUUGUCACAGCCAAUUUCAAGGCUCUGCAGCAGCUAUUGCGUAACGCUAGAGUGCCACUGCUUUCCAAAGAGUAAACAUUGUUGGUUAGUUGGAAUGCCUUCCCCCUCUGUCGUAAUGAGGGUAGAUUGCAGGGUGCUUAAACUUAAGUGGCGACUGCUGCUGUCCAAUAUAAUUGUUGUUAGGGUGUUUUGAUUAGUGUUAUUUACAUCCCACACUUAUAUUUUUCUUCCUGGCGCUGAUUCUGCUGAUAGAGGAUAAUUAUUUUGAAGAAGGGUCUACUUGCGCUGACUGAGAUAUGUGGGGGGUGGGAGGUUUCUACCAAAAAAUGAACUGAAUGUAAAUCGUUCUGGAUAAGUGCGUCUGCUGAAUGACUAAAUUGUAAGAAACCGUGAAGGAGUGGGAGAUAAAUAAAGCCAUGUCCUUUAAACACGUCCCCUUCAGAGUGGGAGAUAAAAAAGCCAUGCAUAGCCAACGCUAGAAAUAUUGUAAAUGCAGUUGCACUAGCUGGAUUGGGGCCACAGAUAGGAUGCUUUGCUCACGUUAUUAAUCUAGCAUCUCAAAAAGCAAUGUCAGUGAAUCCAUUCUCUCGCCUCCUAGCAAAGAUCAGGAAGGUGGUAUACUUCUUUCAUAAAAUAACAACUGCUGCACAUGCUUGAGUUCCCAAACCACAAACUAAUCCAAGAUGUCCCUUACUAGAUGGAAUUCAAGCCAUGACAUGGUUGAGAGAUACUUUGAUCAGAAAGGUGCGGUGUAUUCUACACUGACGGAUCAAGCUGUGAGAAAGAAUGUCAAAGAUAUUGUGACUUUGUCUGAAAACGACGUGAGACUAGCAGAGGAAGUUUAUCAAAGUGUGCAAACCUCUCAAAACAGUCACCACACUGAUAUGCACAGAGAGCAUUCUCAGUUUCCAUGGUCCCGCCUAUGAAAACAAUGACCCUGAAAUCAAUGGUGGCAUCUGGAGCCUAGAUAUGCUGACCCUGGUGUCCAAGACUUCUUACACAAGAGCACCACUUUGGACUCCCGGUUCAAGUCCCUGCUGCACCUGGAUGCUGCUGCCCGUCUAAAAGUUUGUGACCAAUAUACAACAGCCACAUAUACCACAGGAACCAACCCCUCUACAGAGACAGGGGUUCUCCUCCAGACAAGAUGUCUGCCAUGGCUGAGCUUUUUGGAGAGUUGUUCACGACCCAGGAGCAGGGAACCAAGUCAAAGGUCAAGGUCAUAGAGGAGGAGGUGACCUCAUACAGGGAAGUGGACUGUAUUCCCCUGGAUGUUGAUCCACCUACAUGGUGGAAGACCAAAGAGUUAAUAUACCCUCAUGUUGCCAUGUUAGCAAGGUGCUACCUGGCUGUGCCUGGGACCUCUGUCCCUAGUGAGAGGGUAUUCUCCACAGCGCCUGACAUUGUCACAACAAGCCGAUCUGUUGCUCACUGCAGAUCAUUUCAAUAGAUUCAUCUUCUUAAAGAAAAACUUGAAAAUCUGAUUUAAUUAUUAUUAUUAUUAUUAUUUUUUUUUUUAACUAACCGGUCUCAAGUGGUCCUAUUUUGUUUAAGGCUCUGCUAUGUGACUUAACUUUGAUAUAUGCUUCUGGACUAUUCACUCUGGUUGAAGUUCUGUUAUAAGGCAGGCACUGCUGUUUUUUUGUUGUCCCUUUGAUUCCAAGCAUUUCGCUACACUUGCAUUAACAUCUGCUAACCAUGUGUAUGUGACAAAUAAAAUUUGAUUUGAUUUGAUUUGCUCUG